rnacentral:rRNA from 1 species
AACGCGAAGAACCUUACCUGGGUUUGACAUCUCCUGACAGCCGUAGAGAUACGGUUUUUGUAGCAAUACAACAGGAAGACAGGUGCUGCAUGGCUGUCGUCAGCUCGUGUGGUGACAUGUUGGGUUAAGUCCCGCAACGAGCGCAACCCUUGUCUUUAGUUGCCAUCAUUCAGUUGGGCACUCUGGUGAGACCGCCUCGGAUAACGGGGAGGAAGGCGGGGAUGACGUCAAGUCCUCAUGGCCUUUAUGUCCAGGGCUACACACGUGCUACAAUGGCCGGUACAAACCGUCGCAAACCCGUGAGGGGGAGCUAAUCGGAAAAAGCCGGCCUCAGUUCGGAUUGUAGUCUGCAACUCGACUACAUGAAGCUGGAAUCGCUAGUAAUCGCGGAUCAGAACGCCGCGGUGAAUACGUUCCCGGGCCUUGUACACACCGACUGUAC